rnacentral:rRNA from 1 species
GAUGGACGCUAGCGGGAGGCCUAACACAUGCAAGCCGAGCGGUAGAGUUUCUUCGGAAACUUGAGAGCGGCGCACGGGUGCGUAACACGUGUGCAACCUACCUUUAUCUGGGGGAUAGCCUUUCGAAAGGAAGAUUAAUACCCCAUAAUAUAAUGAUUGGCAUCAAUUAUUAUUGAAAACUCCGGUGGAUAGAGAUGGGCACGCGCAAGAUUAGAUAGUUGGUGAGGUAACGGCUCGCCAAGUCAAUGAUCUUUAGGGGUCCUGAGAGGGAGAUCCCCCACACGGGUACUGAGACACGGACCAGACUCCUACGGGAGGCAGCAGUGAGGAAUAUUGGACAAUGGGUGAGAGCCUGAUCCAGCCAUCCCGCGUGAAGGAUGACGGUCCUAUGGAUUGUAAACUUCUUUUGUACAGGGAUAAACCUACCCUCGUGAGGGUAGCUGAAGGUACUGUACGAAUAAGCACCGGCUAACUCCGUG